rnacentral:rRNA from 1 species
UGUUGUUAAGGUAUUAAGGGUGUACGGUGGAUGCCUUGGCAUCAGGAGACGAUGAAGGGCGUGGCAAGCUGCGAUAAGCCUCGGUAAGCCGCAAGCAGGCUGUGAUCCGGGGAUUCCCGAAUGGGGCAACCCAGACGAUUAAUGCCGUCUAUUCUCCACUGAAUACAUAGGUGGAAGAAUGUAAACGCAGGGAAGUGAAACAUCUCAGUACCUGCAGGAGUAGAAAUCAAACGAGAUUCCCUGAGUAGUGGCGAGCGAAACGGGAAUAGCUCAAACCUUGUAUAUGUCAAGCCCGUAAGCGUUGUAUGCAAGGGGUUGUAGGACUUCAUUUGACGACAUUACGGUGCCGUCGACGAGUCAAAAACCAAAUUCUUAGUAGAAUGGUUUGGAAAAGCCAGCCAAAGAAGGUGAUAGCCCUGUAAACGAAAAGAAUUUGGCUCGUUGAAUGAGGAACCUGAGUACCACGGGGCCCGUGAAACCUUGUGGGAAGCCGGGAGGACCACCUUCCAAAGCUAAAUACUCCCUGAUGACCGAUAGUGAACCAGUACCGUGAGGGAAAGGCGAAAAGAACCCCGGUGAGGGGAGUGAAAUAGAACCUGAAACCGUAUACCUACAAGCAGCGAGAGGGCUAUGGUCCGCAAGGACAAGGCCUGAUCGCGUGCCUUUUGCUUAAUGAGCCGGCGAGUUAUUUUGCGUAGCAAGGUUAAGUCGAAAAGGCGGAGCCGUAGCGAAAGCGAGUCUGAAUAGGGCGUCCAGUUACGUAGAAUAGACCCGAAGCGAGGUGAUCUACCCAUGGCCAGGGUGAAUCCGCUGUAACAGGCGGAGAAGGCCCGAACCGGUGUACGUUGCAAAGUGCUCGGAUGAGCUGUGGGUAGGAGUGAAAGGCUAAUCAAACCUCGUAAUAGCUGGUUCUCCCCGAAAUAGCUCUAGGGCUAGCCUCGUAUUAACCGUGGCGGAGGUAGAGAACUGGAUGGGCUAGGGGUGUUCCCACACUACCGAACCCAACCAAACUCCGAAUGCCGCUACUGGAUAUACGGGAGUCAGACUAUGGGUGCUAAGGUCCGUGGUCGAAAGGGAAACAGCCCAGACCGCCAGCUAAGGUCCCUAAUGUAAGCUAAGUGGGAAAGGUUGUGGAAGCGCUCAGACAGCCAGGAGGUUGGCUUAGAAGCAGCCAUCCUUUAAAGAGUGCGUAAUAGCUCACUGGUCGAGUGAAUCUGCGCCGAAAAUGUACCGGGGCUCAAGCUUACAACCGAAGCUGCGGAUUUUUAUCGAAAGAUAGAAGUGGUAGGGGAGCAUUCUCUAGGAGUUGAAGGUUGACCGACAAGGACGGCUGGAUUCUAGAGAAGAGAUUAUGCCGGCAUAAGUAGCGAUAAACGAUGUGAGAAUCAUCGUCCCCGAAAACCUAAGGUUUCCUGGUCAAUGUUCGUCAGAUCAGGGUUAGUCGGGUCCUAAGGCGAGGCCGAAAGGCGUAGUCGAUGGAAAACAGGUUAAUAUUCCUGUACCGCCGUAAUCGCGUUAUCAACUAAGGGGGGACGCAGGGGGGUAGGUGCCGCCGGGUUCCUGGAAUACCCGGUCCAAGCAAGUAGGUGGGGCCUGUAGGUAAAUCCGCGGGCCUAUUAACACUGAGAUGUGAUGGGGAGGCCGUAAGGCCAUAAACGGACUGAUCCCGUACUGCCGAGAAAAUCCUCGUAGUGAGUUGUUAUGGUGUCCGUACCGCAAACCGACACAGGUAGGUAGGUGUAAUACACUAAGGGGCGUGAGAGAACUCUCCCUAAGGAACUAUGCAAUUUAGCCCCGUAACUUCGGGAAAAGGGGUGCCUCGACUAGGUGAGAUGAUUUACUUAUCAAGCCGAACGAGGUCGCAGUAAAGUGGCUCUAGCGACUGUUUAC